GUUCCAGAGAAUUCUCAACCGUCCCCCUCUCUCCCCCCGGGACAGCGUCUCUAUUCCAACCUGGCACGGACGCCAGGAGCUCGCGCUACGAGUCAUUUUAAAAAGAAAACACAAUUUACGUGUGAAAGUCGAGACGAGAAAGCUCGCGGGUGCCCGUUAGGAUUUGUGGGGUGAGACGGGAGAAUUCACACCAGUCCCAGCUGCCCUCCAGGGAAACAGAACCCACGAACGUGUCACGUCUGCGUUUAUCGAUAACCGCGUGUGCGCGGAGGGGCUGUGCUCAGUGUCCCGCGUGAGGCUCCCGGGAGAGCUCCCUCCCCUUCCGCGUCUGGCUCUGGGAGGGCCCUGGGCGGCCAAUCAGGAUCCCCAUUGCCUUCGCCGAAGUGCUGUGUCCGGUGCAGGCCUGUGACCCACGUGGCCUCCAACAGGGUCCCUGUUUAUCGCGCUGUCGUGGUCGUGGGGUUUGAGGAAGAAAGCCCAGCGCUGGCGCCAUUUGGUCUCCCAUCCAAGUUCUAACCGGGUCCGACCCUGCUUAGCUUCCGAGAUCAGAUGAGCUCGUAGGCGUUCGGGGGGCAUGGCCGUAGACUUUGGCCACUUGGUACCACGGUGGGCUGAGGGGCUGCGGGUGGGAAGGCGAUUUGAGGAGCACAUUUGCAGGCAGCAGACUGUGGCUUCCAGAACCGACUGUGCCCGAGGAUAAGGCCUGAACUUCAACAACCUGCAAGUGGGUUGAGCAACCCGUUUCACCGUUGAGGAGACAGAGCGCUGGCCCAGCCUGGACCCGGAGCUGAGGUUCCUGUUUCCUGGCUCACCUGGAGGCUCCUGCAGUUGGCCAGAUGAGACCCUGACGUGGAAACAAAUCUCUCGGGCACAGGCACACUUCAGGGCUUUAAAGAGGUGCAUUCACCUGUUGAAGAUGGUGGUCCAGGCAGGAAAAGAGCAGGGGCUGCUGCUGACUUGUUCCCCAGGAGCACAGGAGAGGAGGCUUCGAGACCCACAUGUGUCCUGUGGCUGCUCCACCCACACCGGGGUCUGACCCCAGCGGAUCAGCAGAGAGAGCGGCCCAGAGCAGGAGGCCCAGCCCAGGGCAGCUGGGGUCUGCAGGGCUCCCCUCCAGAGGCCGCACCUCAGACCUUGGCAGCAGCCCCCAGCUCUGUGGAUCCUCCAGGAGAUUUUCCCAAGCUCCAGCCCCAACCCUUUAAUUCACACUGGGAAGAGCCUCAAAGAACCCGGCAGGGACGGAGCUCCCCCGACCCUCUGGGCAAAGAUCAACUUGGUUAAAAGGGCCUCCAGCUGAAACCCAUCUCCUGGGGAAAUGUAUUAAAACAGAAACUCUGC